rnacentral:rRNA from 1 species
GCAUAUCAAUAAGCGGAGGAAAAGAAUCCAACAGGGAUUGCCCUAGUAACGGCGAGUGAAGCGGCAACAGCUCAAAUUUGAAAUCUGGCUUCGGCCCGAGUUGUAAUUUGCAGAGGAUGUUUCUGGCGCGGUGCCUUCCGAGUUCCCUGGAACGGGACGCCACAGAGGGUGAGAGCCCCGUAUGGUUGGAUACUAAGCCUGUGUGAAACUCCUUCAACGAGUCGAGUAGUUUGGGAAUGCUGCUCAAAAUGGGAGGUAAAUCUCUUCUAAAGCUAAAUAUUGGCCAGAGACCGAUAGCGCACAAGUAGAGUGAUCGAAAGAUGAAAAGCACCUUGAAAAGGGGGUUAAACAGUACGUGAAAUUGUUGAAAGGGAAGCGCUCAUGACCAGACUUGUGCUGGGCAGCUCAUCCGGGGUUCUCCCCGGUGCACUCUGCCCAGUUCAGGCCAGCAUCGAUUUUUGCUGGGGGAUAAGAACGGUAGGAACGUGGCCCUCCUUCGGGUGGGUGUUAUAGCCUACCGUACGAUACCCUGGUGGAGAUCGAGGUUCGCGCAUCUGCAAGGAUGCUGGCGUAAUGGUCAUCAGCGACCCGUCUUGAAACACGGACCAAGGAGUCGUCCAUUAGAGCGAGCGUUUGGGUGUAAAACCCGCACGCGUAAUGAAAGUGAAAUUAGGUGAGAGCUUCGGCGCAUCAUCGACCGAUCCUGAUGUUCUCGGAUGGAUUUGAGUAAGAGUUUUAACGGACGGACCCGAAAGACAGUGAACUAUGCUUGUAUAGGGUGAAGCCAGAGGAAACUCUGGUGGAGGCUCGCAGCGGUUCUGACGUGCAAAUCGAUCGUCAAAUAUGAGCAUGGGGGCGAAAGACUAAUCGAACUGUCUAGUAGCUGGUUACCGCCGAAG